UUGUCAGUGAGGUAUAUCCUUACCUGUUGCAUUCGUUUGCAGCAGAACAUGAUGAAUGGUUUCAAUGAGUUGGUGAUUAAACUGACUCCCACCCUGGAGGCUUAACAACCCUUCAGGACCGUUCUGAU